rnacentral:rRNA from 1 species
AGAGUUUGAUCCUGGCUCAGGAUGAACGCUAGCUACAGGCUUAACACAUGCAAGUCGAGGGGCAGCAUGUUGGUUGCUUGCAACCAACGAUGGCGACCGGCGCACGGGUGAGUAACGCGUAUCCAACCUACCCUUGUCCAUCGGAUAACCCGUCGAAAGGCGGCCUAACACGAUAUGCGGUUCACGGCAGGCAUCUAAGGUGAACGAAAUGUGAAGGAGAAGGAUGGGGAUGCGUCUGAUUAGCUUGUUGGCGGGUAACGGCCACAAGGCUACGAUCAGUAGGGGUUCUGAGAGGAAGGUCCCCCUACAUUGGAACUGAGACACGGUACCAAACGUCCUACGGGAGGCA